GCAGCUUUGUAUUGGCUCUCUCUCUCAUUUCUUGCCACAUUCUUGUUUUGCUUCAUCCUGGGCCUAAGGAUUGCAUUACAGAUGAGGAUAUAACAUAUAAUCCUUCCCCUCAGUCUCUAAACCCAAGUUAAUAGAAAUACUUUUUCCUGAGGUUAAUUGGCACAUCUAAAUUGUCCUGGUCUGAGUGAGCGUGGAUGUGAACGUGCUCUGCGAUGGGAUGGUGUCCUCUCCAGGGCUGGUUCCUGCCUUGAGCACUGAGCUGCCAGGAAAGGCUCCAGCUACCGGCAACCCUGAACUGGAAUAAGCAGUCAUCCAGGGACCAGGACUAAAGGAGACUGCUGACUUGCAUACACAUCUUCCAAGAACACACUGGGCAUCAACAUCCAACAAGCGAAAAAAGGAAGGAGCAUGUAGGAUGCCAUGGACCUGGUCUAAAAAUGACACACAGUACUUUCUCUAAUAUUCCACUGGCUGGAUUUCAUCUUAAUGGGUAUACCUAACUGCAGGGAAUUCAUACCUAACUGCAGCGAAUUCAUACCUAACUGCAAGGAAUUCAUACCUAACUGCAAGAAGUCAGAGAGAAGCAUAUGACACGUUCAGAAGAAAGGAACUGCCAUAUUGUGGACAAGGUCACAUGGCAGGGAAUGGUGGGCAGCCUCUAGAAGCUAAGAGCAACCCCCAGCUGACAGCCAGCAAGACAUCAGAGACUUCAGUCCUACUGCCCCAGAAACUGAAUUCUGCCAACAACCUGGACGAGCCUGGACAGAAACCUGAGCCCAGAGUGAGAAAUGCAGCCCCAGCCAACACCUGGAUUUCAGCCUGAUGAGACCCUGAGGAGAGAAUCCAGUCAUGUUGCAUCUGGAAUUCUGACCUAGAGAACUGUGAGUUUGUAAAUUUGUGUUGUUUUAAGUUGCUAAGUUUGUGAAAAUUUGUGAUGCAGCAAUAGAAAACUGAUAUCCUGUGCCUGGCGUGGUGGGUCAUGCCUGUAAUCCCAGCACUUUGUGGGGCUGAGGCGGGCAGAUCACAAGGUCAGACGUUCGAGACCAGCCUGGCCAACAUGGCGAAACCUCAUCUCUACUAAAAAUACAAAAAUUAGCCGGGCAUGGUGGCACGCACCUGUAAUCCCAACUACUCAGGAGGCUGAGGCAGGAGAAUCAAUUGAACCUGGGAGGCAGAGGUUGCAGUGAGCCGAGAUUGUGCCACCAUACUCCAUCCUGGGUGACAGAGUGAGACUCCGUCUCAAAAAAAACAAAAACAAACAAACAAAAAAAACUGAUAUCCUGUCCUAUAGUAGGCAUUUAAUAAAUAUAUGUGGAAUGAAUGAAUGAAUGAAUGAAAGAAAUUUUGAUAUGUUACAUGGUAAAGGUAAGAUAAUUAUAAGAAAGGCAAAAUAUGAAACUAUACUUGUGAUUUUAGAACUAAGUUCUGGAUAGUUUUAAUAACCACAUAUCUUGUAUUAUUUAUAUACAUUCAU
rnacentral:lncRNA from 10 species